UCAGGAUGAACGCUGGCGGCGUGCUUAACACAUGCAAGUCGAACGAUGAUCCCCAGCUUGCUGGGGGGAUUAGUGGCGAACGGGUGAGUAACACGUGAGUAACCUGCCCUUAACUUUGGGAUAAGCCUGGGAAACUGGGUCUAAUACCGGAUAUGACUCCUCAUCGCAUGGUGGGGGGUGGAAAGCUUUAUUGUGGUUUUGGAUGGACUCGCGGCCUAUCAGCUUGUUGGUGAGGUAAUGGCUUACCAAGGCGACGACGGGUAGCCGGCCUGAGAGGGUGACCGGCCACACUGGGACUGAGACACGGCCCAGACUCCUACGGGAGGCAGCAGUGGGGAAUAUUGCACAAUGGGCGCAAGCCUGAUGCAGCGACGCCGCGUGAGGGAUGACGGCCUUCGGGUUGUAAACCUCUUUCAGUAGGGAAGAAGCGAAAGUGACGGUACCUGCAGAAGAAGCGCCGGCUAACUACGUGCCAGCAGCCGCGGUAAUACGUAGGGCGCAAGCGUUAUCCGGAAUUAUUGGGCGUAAAGAGCUCGUAGGCGGUUUGUCGCGUCUGCCGUGAAAGUCCGGGGCUCAACUCCGGAUCUGCGGUGGGUACGGGCAGACUAGAGUGAUGUAGGGGAGACUGGAAUUCCUGGUGUAGCGGUGAAAUGCGCAGAUAUCAGGAGGAACACCGAUGGCGAAGGCAGGUCUCUGGGCAUUA
rnacentral:rRNA from 1 species